rnacentral:rRNA from 1 species
CGCCUCCUGCAAAAAUCAAUGUAUAAGAGGUCCUACCUGCCCAGUGACAUUAAGUUAAACGGCCGCGGUAUUUUGACCGUGCUAAGGUAGCGCAAUCACUUGUCUUUUAAAUGAAGACCUGUAUGAAUGGUGGAACGAGGGCUUAACUGUCUCCCUUUUCAGGUCAGUGAAAUUGAUCUGCCCGUGCAGAAGCGGACAUAACAAUACAAGACGAGAAGACCCUUUGGAGCUUAAGACACAGGGUCAACUAUGUCAAAAAUUCCCGUAAAUGGUAAUAAAACAAAGUAUUAACUGACCAAAGUCUUCGGUUGGGGCGACCGCGGGGGAAAACGAAGCCCCCAUGUGGAAUGGGAUAAAACCUAAAACCACGAGGGACACCUCUAAGUCACAGAACAUCUGACCAAAAGAUCCGGCACCUAGGCCGAUCAACGAACCAAGUUACCCUAGGGAUAACAGCGCAAUCCCCUCCAAGAGUCCAUAUCGACAAGGGGGUUUACGACCUCGAUGUUGGAUCAGGACAUCCUAAUGGUGCAGCCGCUAUUAAGGGUUCGUUUGUUCAACGAUUAAAGUCCU